AACCAUAGAAACCUGCGGAGUACCUGCGGAAGGAUCAUUACACAAUACAAUAUGAAGGCUGUCCGCAGCUGGAGUAUUUUAUUACCCUUGUCUUUUGCGCACUUGUUGUUUCCUGGGCGGGUUCGCUCGCCACCAGGACCACCAAAUAAACCUUUUUUAUGCAGUUGCAAUCAGCGUCAGUACAAACAAUGUAAAUCAUUUACAACUUUUAGCAAUGGAUCUCAGAUCGGAAGAGCACAC
rnacentral:misc_RNA from 1 species